rnacentral:lncRNA from 1 species
AGAUUUUAGUGUUUCUCUGCCGUGGAUGCUGAAAUUUUUCAGCUGCCAUUUGUUUGCUUCAGUUGUGGAAUGAAUUUUAUCUUAAUUUCUUAUUGAUCAUUGACUCAUUUCUUUUAUGGAUCAUUCUCAGGUGCAAGUUGCCUAGUAGGAAAUGCAAAUGAAUCUACAAUUAUCUAGCCUGUGUUAACAGAUAGUUGCAAAUCUGAAAACAUAAAGCCUCUUUACUGUAGUGAUUUUGCUUCUGACGUUGAAGAUCCUUCUAUAAAACUUAGCCUUCCAGAGGCAAAGCUGCAGGAACUGUUGUGUUAAUAUUUAUUCUUGUCCUAUCAUACCAAUAAUCAGCUGAUGAAUUCCUUCUCGUCAUUGCGCAGAUGAUGGGAAGUAACUCUUUAAUCCAUGAGUUAAAUGAGCUCGGUUUGGUGAGCGUAUUUGUCAAAAGAAGGGGAAGAGGGAUUGGAAAACAAGAAGUUGAAAAUAAUGAAAAUGAUGCAGCUGUAAAUUGCUACAAAAAAGACUUUAGUGAAGAAGGAGAAGCUGAAAAUUUUAUUGAGUGUUUUCUAUUUUUUUGGAUGGUUACAAAUGCUCAAUAUGCCUUCUAUCUAUACUAGUUCAUGGAUGAUUCUAGAUGUCCUUCUAGAUAUAUCUACAGGAAAAAUCUAGUCAUCCUUAUCUUUUACUACUCUAGAAUAUCUAGAUAAUUCUACAAGAUAUUUAUUCAAGACACUACACUAGGAUAUUCUAGAAGAACCUAUUCCAAAAAUAUCUAAUAUCUAGAAGUUUCUUCUACAAAAAUAUCUACUAAUUAGGAGUUUCUAGAUAAAUCUUAAUUUCCUAACACUCCUCCUUAAGAUUUUUCAUUGAAACUCCCUGCAAUGACCUUUGAAACUCAAACUUGUUUGUGGGAAGAGCCUUGGGUAGAAUAUUGGCUUGUUGUUCUUCACUUCUGCAAUGUACUAGCUUAACUUCGCCAUUCUUCUCGGCAUCUCGCAAAGCAUGAAAUCUGAUGUUGAUAUGCUUCGUCCUUCCAUGUUGCACUGGAUUUUUAGCCAUAGCAAUGGCUGACUUAUUGUUCACAUAUAUCACUGUUGGUUCUUCUGGCCAAAGAUCCAAUUCAAACAAGAUUUUCCUCAACCAAAUUCCUUGAUUUGUAGUAGAUGCAACAGCCACAUACUCGGCUUCAGCUGAAGAUUGAACUACGAUAUCCUGCUUCUUUGUGCUCCAAGAAAAAAAUGCCUGAACCAAAUGAAAAAGAAUAACUAGACUUGCUUUUAUAAUCGUCCAAACAUCCACCCCAAUCAUUAUUUGAAUAGCCAAUAAGAACUCUAUUCUCCACACUUCUGUACCAAAUGCCAUAAUCAGUUGUCCCUUUAAUAUACAUCAACACCCUUUUAGCAGCUCCAGAUGCUUGGUGCUGGGACAUUGCAUAUAUCGGGACAAUAGACUGGCUGCAAACAUCAUAUUUGGCCUUGUAGCAGUUAGAUACAACAAGCUUCCAAUAAGGCUCCUAUAAAAUUUUGAAUCUGCCCGCUCUUCUCCAUCACCCUUCAUUAACUUUUCAUUCACAACAAGUGGAGUUGCAACAGGUUUUCACUUAUCAAGCUUGAACCUUUUUAAGAGAUUCAGGGCAUACCUCUUUUGGGACAAGAAAAUUCCUUCAGAAGAUUGAGAAAUUUCCAUUCCUAGGAAGAACUUCAUCUCCCCUAGAUCAGACAUUUCAAAAACUUUUAGCAUCGUAUUUUUAACUUCUUGAACUGCAAGGGAAUCUUCACCUGUGAUCAUCAAAUCAUCAACAUAAAUGGAUAUCACAAUUAACUUCCCAUCAGCUUGCCUUUUGAAGUAUAAAGUAGGCUCAUUUAGGCUUCGGUUGAAGCCUUGAGACAACAAAUGUGUAUUUAGCCUACUAUACUAAGCUCUCGGUAUACACCUUGUCUUCUUCACCUGCAACUAUAAAACCUUCAGGUUGUUCAACAUAAAUAUGUUCUUCAAGAAAUCCAUUUAGAAAUGCAGAUUUGACAUCUAAAUGAUAAAUUUUCCACUUGUAUUGUGCUGCAAGAGCGAUAAGAAAUCUUACUGUUUCAUGCCUUGCGACAGGAGCAAACGUAUCUCCAAAGUCCACUCCACUCCAGGCUGCUGGGAAUAACCUUUAACUACGAGUCUGGCUUUAUGUUUGAAGAUGGGCCAUCUGGAUUGAACUUCGUUCUAUAGACCCAUUUGACACCAAUGACGUUCUUUUGGUCGGGCCUAUCGACCAGCUCCCAAGUAUCAUUUUUAUUAAUCAUGGCAAACUCUUCCUCCAUUGCAGUAAUCCAGGCAUUAUGACUCAUUUUUUCUUCAAAGGAAGAUGGUUCAACGAGAGCAAAAUUGCAUUGCUCAUAAACUUCAGCUAGUGAUCUGGUCUUCAAAACUGGAGAAUCAGCUGUCAAUUCAACAUUUGAAAGGUGUCGUGCUCCAGCAAUAAGACUGGAAGAAAUAUCACUUGUCUGCGGAUUUUGAGCUGCAACUGAAGUACUCCCAUCUUGUUUUUUUACAACAAUAUCUCGAUCCCAAUCAUAGUGGCUAGACUCGUCCACCGCAAAAUCUCUACUGAUAAGCACCUUCUUCGUACGAACAUUAUACACUUUGUACCCUUUUGCAGUUGUGCUAUAGCCCAACAAAAUACAGAGCUCUGCCUUGUUAUCCAAUUUGCCUCUUUUAGCAUCUAAAACAUGUGCAUAGCAGACUGAACCAAAGACUUUUAAGUGUCUCGCAGACGGUUUUAUACCUUUCCAUGCUUCAAAUGGUGUCAUGUCUUGGAGUGCUCUAGUUGCUAAUCUGUUCAACAAAUAGACGACAAUAUUGACUGCCUCAGCCCAAAAAUAUUUAGGCAUCUUCUUUUCUACCAACAUGUAUCUCGCCAUCUCUAUCACUAUUCUGUUCUUCCUCUUAGAAACCCCGUUCUGUUCUGGAGUGUAGCUAACAGUGAAUUGUUGUUGAAUACCCACAUCUUUACAAUACUUGCUGAACUGAUGCGAAGUAUAUUCAGUUCCAUUAUCUAACCUGUAUACUUCAACCAGCAGCCACUCUCCCCUUCUACCAUAGCCUUGAAUUCUUUGAAAAUAGAGAACACCUGAACUUUGCUACUUAGAAAAUGGACCCAUGUCAUUCGAGUUAGAUCAUCUAUAAAGAGAAUAAAAUAUUUAUUCCCACUCAAAGAAGCCGUCCUUAUUGGUCCACAUAUAUCUGUAUGAACCAACUCUAGUUUUUCCUUCGCCCUCCAAAGACUUCCUUUAGGAAAGGAUCGUCUAUGCAAUUUACCAAAUUGACAUGACUCACAAACAUCUCGGCACAUGCCAAUUUUGGGUACAUCAAGCACCAUACCCCUGGAUUGCAUAUACACCAAUGAACUAAGGUUGUAAUGACCAAAUCUUUUGUGCCAAAGCCAAGUAUCACUCAUUUCAACAUUGAAAGAGCAACUUUCAGUAGAAUAGCAUAAAAUUGGAAAAGAAUUACCAAUCAUGCUAAUUUUAGCUACUUCACAAUCUUUAGGAUCAUAAAUGACACAUUUUUUAUCCUUAAAAGUAAGUGAAUAAUUAUUGUGAAACAACUGAGCAACACUCAACAAGUUUUGAGUUAGGCUUGGCACAUAAAGAACAUCAUUUAUGAUUUUCAUACCUUUGUCCGUAGGGAAUUUCACUGAUCCUUUUCCUUGAUCUUGCACCAUGUACCUUGUGCACGCACUAUCGACAUACCAAUUAUAACGAUCAACACGUGAUGUGUGCAAAACCAUGAAUACCUCCUCCUCUGUUUUUUUCAGGUGAUCUUUCGCAAAAUUUACUCGUUAAGAAGACUGACCAAUUUGAGUUUGCUUUUGCCUGCAAUACUUCUCAAUAUGCCCAUACUUCUUGCAGUAUCUGCAUUGAAUAGGAGAGCUCUUGGACUUCUGCCAGCAAUUCUUCUCCAAGUGGUUUGUCUUCUCACAAAUACCACAAGGUGAAAAUUUUCCUCUCCUCGAUGAUUCGCCUUGAUAUCCACCAGAUUUCACCUCUCCAGAGUGGUCUGAAGAGACUUUUUUGCCUUCCUUUUGUUGCUUGAAUUUAUGCCUUACUUGAAAGGCAUCUUCGAUUGUCCCUUCACUUCUCAUGGUUACCCGUUGCUUUUGGAUUUGCAAUUUAGAGAUCAACUCAGCUAUUGAAAGAGUAGUUAAGUCACAAGACUCUUCAAUAGUUGAGAUUUUUGAUUCAAACUUGUCCGGAAGGCUGACCAUGAUCUUUUCUAUAACCUUCUGAUCUGGAAAGUUUUCACCAAGUAUCCUUAUUUGGUUCACAAUAUCCAUCAGCUUGGAAGAGUAUUCUUUCACACUAUCCGAAUCCUUCAUCUUCAAGAGCUCAAACACCCUCUUUAAAGCUAAGACCUUAACGGACUUAACUCUGUUGCUACCUUCAAACUCCUCCUUUAGCUUAUCCCAGUCUUCUUUGGCUGUCUGACAAGCCAUAAUCCUUGUAAACAUCACUUCCGUAAGGCUUGAAUGUAUGCAAGUGAGAGCUCUUGGAGAUCUAGUCACCAACUCUUCAUACUUUUUGAUAUCAUUGAGAGUUGGGUUGUCUCUCAAUGGCCCCCGUGAAAAUUGGAGGACCCGUUGCUAGUUGAUUUUCUGGUGCCAUAUUUUCCAGCAAAUAGAUCCAAGAAAAGAGCUUAAAAAAGAUGAGCCAAUCAAUAAAAAAAUAGAUUCAGAUCCCGUAAGAAAUGAGCUAUGAUACAAUGUCAAAAGAAGGGGAAGAGGGAUUGGAAAAUAGGAAGUUGAAAACAAUGAAAAUGAUGCAGCUGUAAAAUUGCUACAAAAAAAACUUUAGUGAAGAAGGAGAAGCUGAAAAUUUUAUUGAGUAUUUUCUAUUUUUCUGGAUGGUUACAAAUGCUCAAUAUGCCUUCUAUUUAUACUAGUUCAUGGAUGAUUCUAG